AAGAACUGGAUGACUUAUUUUCAUGGACUUAUUUCCACGACAACUUCUCCAAGGCUUAUUUCUAUCGCAGCUUAUGCAUAAGCUGCACCUCAAAGUGCAAAAACGCAUAGACAAGCAAACCGGGCUCCAAAGGGGCCCUUGUUCUUAAUGACCAACCCUGGCACACGAAUUGAUUGGUCGAACAUGGGUGUUUUCCAAGCGGAUAUAAAGACAUUGCACGACACAACAAUGACAGGUCAAUUAAAAACAACCAGUAGCGGUACUACAACAUAGUACAUCAUAAUCUUGCAUACAAACUCUACUAUGUAGGACUGUCAGGCUUGGGGCGUCUCUUAAUAAUGUUUUGUAGGGGACACACUCCUGCGACAUACUUGGCCUCUUCAAUGAGGAAUUGCUGCGGAUUAGGACUCCCCGACAGAGGCCUCACCAGAGACCACAAGUUCAAGUUAGGAUGAUGCGCCCUCACACCAGCGCAAACUUGGCGAGCUCCUUCAAAGGCCGUGGAGUAGAUCUAGUCCUCUGGAUGAUCAGGAUACUUCCCCGAGCAGAUCCAGGACAGUCUCAAUGUUAGACUUCAGCAGGAGACCAUCGCGGUGUAAAGUACCAACGACAACCUUAAGGGCGGUCCUCAUCUUCUCAGCCACCGCCGCGACGUCUUGGAUCCAGGCCUCCGCAUCAUCGUUCUGGAUCUCUGGCAGCGGAGCUGCAAAAAGCAAACAAAGAGCAUAUCAAAGAGGAGGCAACCUAGAAGGUUAAAGAGCACUCAAGGUCCUUCCGAAGUUGGACAACCUUCUAUUCGGCCACCCAGGCCACGUCACCCUGCUGCGUCAAUUUCUUCUCCGUGGCCUCCAGAUCACGCUGGAUCAAACCCCGACGGUCCUUAUUCUCCUCUGAGUCAUUACAAAGGGCGCGACAUACAUCCUGCUCCCGUUGAAGGGUAGCCUCCAAAUGUGAUUUGGAGGACAACAUUAUCUCUAGCUCCUUCAUGGCGGUAUGUUCCGCCUCCUCCGCCUGCUUACGGUCCUGGAGGCCUCAUCCAAUUCUUGACGGAGGGCUGCAGCAUCCCCGGGGGCUACACAUGGAAGAAAUUACAAUACCCCCAUCCAGACACAUCAAACUAAAAGGCAGGACCACGCUGAGUUCAAUUCAAAGUGGUCACUUACAGGAGGCGCCAUCCCUGGCACGCUGCAAGCCACAGGUCUUCUGCUCCAAGAGCUCCCAGCUGCUCCUCCAACUCCGAGACCUGCGCAACAAGGCUAUGGUUCUCCCCAACGAGCACCUAAACAAAAACACAAGGUAAGACACCAUCCAGUUCGUCUACUAAAGACAUAUGUUGAACCAAGCAUGGCUCUCAGGCUACCACCAUACUUGGUCUCGGGGGCUACUACCACUACAAGUUAAGGGAAAAAGUUACCUUGAAGUUGGGAUCUGCAGAAAGCCCCACCUACUUCAAGACUGAUCACAGGCACUUCAGCGCCUCGUUGGCAGCCCUUAAGGGUGUCACGAUCUCCUAGGGAACCUCUGGCGGAAGCCCCUGUGCAUAAAUGAAGGGACCUCCGGCGCAACCGGCGGAGAAUGAACUGCCUCCCCUCUGGACAGGCUGUUGGAGAAUCCAGCGGUGUGCUGGCCGACUGGUCAACACUGCCAGCUACGGCCUUCGAAAUUGUAGGUGUCGUUGUCAUGCUCGCUAAAGGAAAGACAAACACUCCAGGGGAGCCUAGUCCUUCCACACGGACAUGUGAUAGACCUAUGGGCCUCACGACAGAAGACGAGUCCCCAUCCCCACCGUCCUUGGUGGUGCUCUCCGUGUCCGUGGCCACCACAAGCACCACAGAGGCCCUCCCGCAAACAGGCGGAUUCAUUAAUCUACUGCACCUAUUAAAGGCAUAGGGAGCUCGGGUAAAAUACUUACCUGGGGGCUGGCGUCCGACCUCUGAAGAAGGGGCUCCAAAGAUAAGGGCGCACCGAGCAAAGUCACCAGCGGUGUGGCUGCGAUCGCAAUAUCCACAGAGGACCACACAACAUAGGAGGUCCCCGCUCCAAGAGAGGAGGCACUGAAAAAAGCAAACCAAAGAUAAAAAACCAUGGAAACUAGCAGAGGUCAGACCAAGAUAUGGUAAGACACGACUUACGGGGUGGUCACUAGAGCAUGUCGCCUCUGUGGCGGCACCGGGAUGUGCAAAGGGGUCUUCAAGCCUCGGGAUUUUGGGGAGCUCUCUCGAAGCUCUUGACCGUUGCUGCGGGCCGGAGACUCCUUAGGCAGGCCUCAACGGAGUUUCUUGAGGGGCUGAUGCGGCGUCUCAGCCUCAGCCUUCCCCAGAUCAUCUUCGCCGACCUCGUCCUCCUUGCUUUCCUCGUCACUGUCGGCCUCGUCUCCAUGGUCAUCAUCCCCAUCGUCAUCAUCAUCCUCAUCUUCAUCAUAUCCGUCAUCGUCGGCGCCACUAUCGUGGCCCUCGGGCGAAGAUGUUGCUGCUUCACUACCUCCUGCUCGACGGGGUCUUUCCCGUCCAUGUCAUCUGAGGCCUCCAUGUCGGAGGCCUCUUCCUCCUCAUCCUCAGAAGCCUCUUUGGAAGCCCUCCUCCACCUCUUCGCGGACUCGCCCUUCCCUCGGGCAGGCCCGGGGAGGGCUGGCAUCAUCAAGGCAGACAAGUUGGAGCUCAUGUUCUGCCCCAAUAGCAGGGGCUUAGAAUGAUACGCCACGAAGACGGCGAACCCCUAUGGAACAGUGACAUAGGGCAUUAGAAGAAGAGGCCCUGACCUCCAAAAAAGAUGGAACUGCAACACCCGUCGGGAGGUCGACCGAAAAAGGCUUGACGACUUUCCUUUAGAAACUUGUGAUGGUGUCAGGGCCCACGAGGAAGGUGAGGUACUCGUCAAUGUCCUUCGGGCUCUGCUCCUCCUGGGAGAACCGUGCGGGGUCUCUUGGCCUAGUGUAUUGGGACAAGAGGAGGGCUUGGGCAUGCAGUGGCAAGCCAUAGUCCGCACCACCCACGUCUACAUGAUAUGGCCUCCGGUCAGUCCACAAUUCUUCAGAAGGAAGAAGGGUGGUAGCAUCUGCCAAUGCCUUAGCCUCCAACGAUAACCUGUACAAGGGAUCCCACGACCGUAGCUUCCGCGGGGGCUCAUUCAUGAAGGCAAGAAGUUUGUUACAAAUACCCUCCACAUAGAACCAGGACUUGUGCCGCUCCUGAAUGGACUUUGGGAGGUCAAAGGAAAGAAAGUGAUUUGGGACGGAGCUGCAGGAUGGAUCCCCCAAGGUCGCAAAACGCACCCCCAUUCAUUUGAACGUAGACACGGAAAAAGUACCGGAACAACUCGAAAUAGGGAGCUAUCUCAAGGAAGCACUCACAUAAAGGUGAUAAAGUUUGUGAUAUGGAGUACUUUGUUGGGGGUGAUGUGAUGCAUUUGGCAACCAAAAAUCCAGAGAAGUCCAUGCACAAAGUUGUGGAGGGGAAAUUUGAUACGUCUCCAACAUAUUUAUAAUUUAUGAAGUAUUCAUGCCAUGUUUGCAACACUUUUAUAUGGUUUUGGUAUGAUUUUAUUAGAACUAACCUGGACUAAUGCUGUUUUCAGCAGAACUACCGUGUGUCAUUUUUGUGUGCAGAAAUAAAAGUUCUCGGAAUGGGCUAAAAAUUUACGGUAAUUUUUUAUGGACCAAAAGAUACCCUAGGAGCAUAGGAGUUGGGCCAAGGAGUGACCGAGGAGGCCACAAGCCCAGGGGGCGCCCCCUAGGGCACCCCUGGCUUGUGGACUCCUCGGGAACCCCCUUGACGUGAGACCAACGCCAAAAAUUCUUAUAAAUCCUAACCUCUAGAAAGAAACCUAGAUCAUAAGUUACGCCGCCGCAAGCCUAUGUAGCCAUGAAAAAUAAAUAAAUGGGAGCCCGUUUUGGCACCCCGCCGGAGGGGGAAACCAUCACCGGAGGCCGUCUUCAUCAUCCCAACGGUCUCCAUGACGAGGAGGGAGUAGUUCACCCUCGGGGUCGAGGGUAUGUACCAGUAGCUAUGUGUUUGAUCUCUCUCUCUCUCUCUCUUGUGUUCUUGAUUUGGAUCGAUAUUGAUGUACCCCGAGCUUUGUUACUAUAGUUGGAUCAUAUGGUGUUUCUCCCCC
rnacentral:lncRNA from 1 species